GAAGACACAAAUAUCUGUAAGAAAACCUUUUCAAAUUACAAGCUUAAUUAGAAUGAAACGAUAACCAAAAAUAAAAUUCAUUGCAAUGCGCAACAAAAAAAUCAAUUACAAAUGUUUACUCCUAAAUUUGUUAUGGUUCGUAUGGAAACCGUAUGUGAGAUAAAAAUUUAUGCUGUAUUUUGAUGUCUCCUAAUUGAAUUCUUCAAUUUCAGUCUCUUUUCCAGUCAAAAUUUGUAGAAGCCCGCUUCUUGGCUGGUAUCCUCUUUUAUAAUUCUGAUCUUGGGGAGAAGUGAAUGGAGCACAGCAGGAUGAGAUAUCAAUUCCAGCAACCUCCAUGGCAUUGCAGACCCACUCAGGGACAUCACCUUUGGGAAACUGCAAGGCGAUAACAACAUCAACAGUCAAGGCUUAUACACCAAUACAUAGCAUCAUGUGGUAUCUUCAGCACUUAUUCUUUUCAUGGUAACUUGCCCCAGGACAAGCCACCACUUCUACUAACAAUGCUAAAGCCAAUGUGGCAGCUUCAACAAUUGCAUGUGUAAGAAACUGGCAUGGUGUAGCAAUAGAUAUAUACCAAGUUACAGAAAGGCAGAUAGAAUUAGUGAAAAAGCAGUUCAUCAACUUAACUCCACUAACAAAGGUCAUUCCAUAUUUGACUUUUGCGGAGCACAGGAAAAGUAGUGUGUCAAAACAUCAAAAUCAGAGAGCAGCUCAAAAAACACAAAAAUUAUGCUGAGCAACAUCGUAUGUAUUUAGGUUAUCCGUCAAUUUUAUGCAAAUUAAUUUGAUGGAGCCCGAAAGAGAAAACCAUAGAUUAUUCUGCACAGCUAACAAUUUACAGAUGAUGGAUCUUCCUUUCCAUUCCCACUCUUUCUGGACAACACAUGCACACAAAAUCACAAAAAUGGUAUUAAGUGCAAGAAGCACCAUUUUCUGGAGGAAGUCACAGACAAACCUGCAAUAAAGGAGUAAUAUUAUAACAAAAGCAACUAUCACAAAGAUAGAAUUAAGAACUCAAAUAUGUGGCACAAUGACAGCCAUGAAAUCAGAGAACAAAAACUUUAUAGUUGUGGGAGACAAAAACUAGGACAAGACACAUACUUUGGAAAUCUUCCCUCAAUAAUUGAUGAGUGUAGAUCUCUGCUAAGCUGCAAUUUUGAAAGUAAAACUCUCAAUUAUAAAUAGAACAAAAUUCAGAAAGAACUAUUAUCUAUUGUUUGUACCUUCAUCAUGUAAUACAAAUUGUGAUAUGACAGAAGCUGCGAUCCCAUGGCAUCUUUUGUCACAAGGCAAUGUAUGUAGGCCCUUGUAUAGUUCUUGCAAACCAUGCAAGCACAUGUAGGAUCAAUGGCGCGUGUAUCAUCAGCCAUCGCACUGUGUUUUAGCUUCAGCACUCCCUCUGGUACAAGAGCUGUGCCAAAACGAGCAGUACGAGUAGGGUACACACAGUCAUACAUGUCAGCACCUAAAGCACUGCAAACAACAAUAUCCAGAGGAUAACCAACACCCUAAGAUAAAGUUGAUGAUUGGCACAGAAAAAUGUUAGAAAAGAGAAGCAAUGAGUAAUUUAUGAAUCCAACUAGUUUGAAGAAUAUAGGUCAAGAUGAUAGAAUUCAUGUUUACCAUUACAUAUCGUGGUUUAUCUUCAGGCAAUGCAGCAGUACAUUGAGCAACAACACGCCAAAAUGAAUCUUUAUCUUCACCACCUGCAAGACCACCGAUUGCAUAGAUGAGAAAAGAAAAUUUAUCUGGAACCGGCAACAAGACAGUAAGCAUGAAAUAUUGGGGACUGAAAGUGCCACCCUAUCCAGGUAAAUUCCGAUCUACCAAGCCUCUAACACAGAUAUCCCUUAACACAGGAUCUAAACCACCUUGAACAAUACCAAAUAAAUUUUGCUCAUUUGGUCUUUUGUGUGCUGCUAUACAUCUGUCUAUCCAUCGAAGAGUACGAUACAUGGCCUCCUCAAUCCUUGGACCAGUGAUGGUGGUUCUUACUACAUCAUCAAGAGCCAUGAUAAUAUCUGCACCAAUUCUGUUUUGGAUUUGAAUCGACUCCUCUGGUGUUAGAAGCAUUGGCUUUCCAUCAACUGGUGACUGAGCUAAGAAAAGGAAGCCUUAGUUACAAGUGUACUCCAUUUCUUGGUAAAACAAGAGCUAAAUCAAGCAAAAUCUUAGUAGGGAAGAACUUUUAGAUUAAUAGUGAAGUAAUUAAUGACGUAAAUUACAUGUGGACAAGCACAUGAGCGAGAAAAUACAAAAUGGGAUAGAUACAGAACACACUAAAUAUUACUCCUAAACACAGAAGAUCAGCACUCAAUGUCCUUAUUGAUCAAAAGAAAGAGUUACCAUUUAGUUAACAGAAUAAAAGCCCAAAAGGAAAACAAGAAACAUUAAUAUCAAAGGAUCAAAACUUUUUAACCUCACAAAGUCAUAAUCAAGAUAAGCACCAAUAUAUUGAAUUUGUAGCUUUGACUUUCUCAAACUAAGCAUAGUACAAAAAAAAGCUGGCCAUUUAAUUCUUAAACAAAAUUGUCAGUAUCAAGAAUCAUCAACCAUUAUAGUUCAAGACAAAACAUAUCAACUAAACUUCACUUAUUGAUAACAAGGAUUUUUAGAAUUGCAUAUAGGAUUAUGAUUCUGUACCAAUUAUGAGAAUCCUAUUUGAUUCUGUUCAGAUUGGUUUUUUGAGGGUUUGGGCUGUUUAAAUAUAUUUGGAUCAUCCUUCAAUUCAGAAAGCAAUUUUGACGAAGAUGAUAACAAAUACCUGAAACGUCACGCCCUUUUCUGUGAUAUCAGCUAAAUGCAAUAAUGAUACCUGGAAUAUUAAAUUAAAAAAUUCAAAAAACAAAAAAGGAAAGGGAGGCCAAAUUGUGAGCUUUAAACUGCAUAUGUUAUUUGUUGCAAUAAACUACAACCGCAAAACAGUCCAUGAAGAUGACACCAUUAAAUAGAUAAGGUUUAAUAAAAUGAGCAUGAAAUGAUGCACUUUGACAAGAAACAUAUAGCUUCAUAUGCUGGAUUCUAAGCUAAUAUGUAGUGAUACUACAUGGGAGGAGUAAACUGACAACCCAAAAAAAUGAAGGGGAAGAAGCUUCAAGCUAGGAACCUAAAACUCACAAAUUAAUAAUAAACUAAAACUGAAACACUAUUAUGAUGUAUUUGAUUUAGUAGACAACCAUCUGGAAGCCACCAGAAUCUGUAAGCAGCGCUCUAGGCCAAUUCAUAAAUUUAUGGAGACCCCCUAAUUCAUCAAUCAGCUCGGAUGUAGGACGGAGUGCCAAAUGAUAGGUAUUUCCAAGGAUUAUUUGACAACCAAUCUCCUCAAGCUGGUUAGUUGUCAAACCUUUAAUUGUCCCUUGAGUACCCACAGGCAUAAACAAAGGAGUCUGGCACACAAAGUGAGGGAGUGUCAGUCGAGCAGCACGAGCACGAUUAAACCUCCCUAGAACCUCAAAACGAAGUGCCAUGAAAACAAUUCUGCUCUAUAUUCCUCUACAAUUCCACUUGCAAUCUGUAGCAGCCAAGGAAAGAAAAGAAAAUGCAGGGAGGAAGCGAGAAGAAGCAAUUCUGAAGGAAGUACCAAAAGCGUACAGAGGGAAGCGGAGGAAGUGAAAUUCUGAUGGAUGAUAGAAGAAAAGCAAUGACCUAGUAUUAUGCUCCAAAAGCAAAACCCAGUUUUUUUCCGCGGCGGCUGCGCCAGUACGCGUUCGUUAUUUUGCUUCCCCUUUUAACUAGGAGUGUUCGG
rnacentral:misc_RNA from 1 species